rnacentral:rRNA from 1 species
UUAAUCGGAUUUACUGGGCGUAAAGCGCGCGUAGGCGGCCAAUUAAGUCAAAUGUGAAAUUCCAGGGCUUAACCUUGGGGCUGCAUUUGAUACGUGUAGACUAGAGUGUGAGAGAGGGUUGUGGAAUUCCCAGUGUAGAGGUGAAAUUCGUAGAUAUUGGGAAGAACACCGGUGGCGAAGGCGGCAACCUGGCUCAUUACUGACGCUGAGGCGCGAAAGCGUGGGGAGCAAACAGGAUUAGAUACCCUUGUA